AGAGACUAAAAUCUGAAAAAUGCUGCUUAAAUGAAAGAAGAAACAAAGAUCGAAUACAAUUCCAGAAAAUUGUUGAGCUUAAUAGACUCACAGAUGCUUGUGUAAACAGAGGAGACGUUUAGAAGUAUCAGAGAACAGAUCAAAAGUUUUUCCAAACCAAAAGUCGAAGGCAAUUUACAUCUGCUUGAGAAAUUACAUUUGAAAAUUCUCUUUAAUUGAUUUAAUUAAUUAUGAUCGAAUUGAUUUGCAUAGGCUAAUGAAAAUUUAACUGUAAA